rnacentral:rRNA from 1 species
UACGAAGGGGGCUAGCGUUGUUCGGAAUCACUGGGCGUAAAGCGCACGUAGGCGGAUGUUUAAGUCAGGGGUGAAAUGCCGAGGCUCAACCUUGGAACUGCCUUUGAUACUGGGCAUCUGGAGUCCGGGAGAGGUGAGUGGAACUGCGAGUGUAGAGGUGAAAUUCGUAGAUAUUCGCAAGAACACCAGUGGCGAAGGCGGCUCACUGGCCGGUACUGACGCUGAGGUGCGAAAGCGUGGGGAGCAAACAGG